rnacentral:miRNA from 1 species
AUUUGGGAGAGAGAGAGAGAGAGAGAGAGAGAGAGAGAGAGAGAGACCAGGGUUGGGGGAACACUUUCUGUGACCAUAUACAAUAGCUGAACAGCUGCAAGGCAAAACCUCAGGGACUCCCCUGGUUUCUCCUUACUGAGAAAACAUAUGGAGCCUAGACACAUGUGCUUCCCAUGUGGAGGCUACAUUUCAUGCAUGGUUUUUAUGUGUCUAAGUGAGUGAAGUUUGGCUCAGGACCCUCUCUCUCUCUCUCUCUCUCUCUCUCUCUCUCUCUCUCUCUCUCUCUCU